rnacentral:rRNA from 1 species
UACGUAGGGUGCGAGCGUUAAUCGGAAUUACUGGGCGUAAAGUGUGCGCAGGCGGCCGCGCAAGUCGAGUGUGAAAGCCCCGGGCUUAACUUGGGAAUUGCGCUCGAAACUACGUGGCUGGAGUGUGGCAGAGGAAGGUGGAAUUCCACGUGUAGCGGUGAAAUGCGUAGAGAUGUGGAGGAACACCGAUGGCGAAGGCAGCCCCCUGGGUCAAGAUUGACGCUCAUGCACGAAGCGUGGGGA